rnacentral:rRNA from 1 species
UAGGGAAUAUUGGUAAUGUGCGAAAGCGCGAACCAGCAACGCCGCGUGCACGAUGAAGGCCUUCGGGUUGUAAAGUGCUUUUAGAGAGGAUGAGGAAGGACAGUACUUUCUGAAUAAGCCUCGGCUAACUACGUGCCAGCAGCCGCGGUAAAACGUAGGUGGCUAGCGUUAUCCGGAUUUACUGGGCGUAAAGCGCGUGCAGGUGGUUUCGUAAGUUGGAUGUGAAAGCUCCUGGCUUAACUGGGAGAGGUCGUUCAAAACUGCGAGGCUUGAGAGUGGUAGAGGGAGGUGGAAUUCCGGGUGUAGUGGUGAAAUGCGUAGAUAUCCGGAGGAACACCAGUGGCGAAAGCGGCCUCCUGGACCAUUUCUGACACUCAGACGCGAAAGCUAAGGUAGCAAACG